ACGGACGGCUAAUACCGGAUGAUGACGUAAGUCCAAAGAUUUAUCGCCCAAGGAUGAGCCCGNGUAGGAUUAGNUAGUUGGUGAGGUANAGGCUCACCAAGGNGACGAUCCUUAGCUGGUCUGAGAGGAUGAUCAGCCACACUGGGANUGAGACACGGCCCAGACUCNUACGGGAGGCAGCAGUAGGGAAUAUUGGACAAUGGGCGAAAGCCUGAUCCAGCAAUGCCGCGUGAGUGAUGAAGGCCUUAGGGUUGUAAAGCUCUUUUACCCGGGAUGAUAAUGACAGUACCGGGAGAUAGC
rnacentral:rRNA from 1 species